rnacentral:rRNA from 1 species
GACGAACGCUGGCGGCGUGCUUAACACAUGCAAGUCGAACGGAAAGGCCCUGCUUUUGUGGGGUGCUCGAGUGGCGAACGGGUGAGUAACACGUGAGUAACCUGCCCUUGACUUUGGGAUAACUUCAGGAAACUGGGGCUAAUACCGGAUAGGAGCUCCUGCUGCAUGGUGGGGGUUGGAAAGUUUCGGCGGUUGGGGAUGGACUCGCGGCUUAUCAGCUUGUUGGUGGGGUAGUGGCUUACCAAGGCUUUGACGGGUAGCCGGCCUGGGAGGGUGACCGGCCACGUUGGGACUGAGAUGCGGCCCAGACUCCUACGGGAGGCAGCAGUGGGGGAUAUUGCACAAUGGGCGGAAGCCUGAUGCAGCAACGCCGCGUGCGGGAUGACGGCCUUCGGGUUGUAAACCGCUUUCGCCUGUGACGAAGCGUGAGUGACGGUAAUGGGUAAAGAAGCACCGGCUAACUACGUG